CCUACGGGUGGCUGCAGUAGGGAAUCUUCCGCAAUGGGCGCAAGCCUGACGCAGCCAAGUAGCGUGAGUGAUGAAUGCCCUACGAUUGUUAAACUUCGUUUAUAAGGGAAUAAAUUUAUGCACGUGUGCCUUUUUAUCUUUACUUUAUGAAUAAAGAUCGGCUAGCUCCGUGCCAGCAGCCGCGGUAAUACGGAGGAUCCGAGCGUUGUCCGGAUUUAUUGGGUUUAAAGGGAGCGUAGAUGGGUUGUUAAGUCAGUUGUGAAAGUUUGCGGCUCAACCGUAAAGUGGCAAUUGAUACUGGAAGUCUUGAGUACAGUUGAGGUAGGUGGAAUUCGUGGUGUAGCGGUGAAAUGCGCAGAGAUCUGGAAGAACUCCGAUGGCGAAGGCAGCUUACUAAACUGUAACUGACAUUGAUGCGCGAAAGUGUGGGGAUCAAACAGGAUUAGAUACCCGAGUAGUC
rnacentral:rRNA from 1 species